rnacentral:rRNA from 1 species
CAAAGGUUUGGUCCUAGCCUUCCUAUUGAUUAUUAACAGAAUUACACAUGCAAGUCUCUACACCCCAGUGAGAAUGCCCUCCAAAUCUAUAUGUUGAUUAAAAGGAGCGGGUAUCAAGCACACUAAAUUAGUAGCUCAUAACGCCUUGCUCAACCACACCCCCACGGGAUACAGCAGUGAUAAAAAUUAAGCCAUAAACGAAAGUUUGACUAAGCCAUGUUAACAAAGAGCUGGUAAAUUUCGUGCCAGCCACCGCGGUCAUACGAUUAGCCCGAAUCAAUAGGCAAACGGCGUAAAACGUGUUAAGGAUUAUAUUAUACUAAAGUUAAAAUUUGACAAGGCUGUAAAAAGCUACUGUUAAUAUAAGAUAAACCACGAAAGUGACUUUAUUACUUCCAUCAACACGAUAGCUGAGACCCAAACUGGGAUUAGAUACCCCACUAUGCUCAGCCCUAAACAUAAAUAAUUAUUACAACAAAAUUAUCUGCCAGAGA